GCUCAGGACGAACGCUGGCGGCGCGCCUAACACAUGCAAGUCGAACGAGCGAGAGAGAGCUUGCUUUCUCGAGCGAGUGGCGAACGGGUGAGUAACGCGUGAGGAACCUGCCUCAAAGAGGGGGACAACAGUUGGAAACGACUGCUAAUACCGCAUAAGCCCACGGGUCGGCAUCGACCAGAGGGAAAAGGAGCAAUCCGCUUUGAGAUGGCCUCGCGUCCGAUUAGCUAGUUGGUGAGGUAAUGGCCCACCAAGGCGACGAUCGGUAGCCGGACUGAGAGGUUGAACGGCCACAUUGGGACUGAGACACGGCCCAGACUCCUACGGGAGGCAGCAGUA
rnacentral:rRNA from 1 species